CGGCUAACAGUCACUCCGUCUGUCCUCCCCCUCGUGGCUCUCCAGCCCGACAUCAUCAGCCCUGCUCCAAUUAGAGCCGUCGCUGCUUCUGACCACGACGAAGCCGCUCCGUCGUUUAUUAACCGGAAACAAAACAAAGAGCAGUGAAUAUCAUUCUUUAUUGUCAUUUUUACUUAAUGUCCGUCCUGCCCUCGAUUCUUGUGAGCUGGUUAAACGUGACAUUGUUUCCUUCUUCUCAGUUUGAUGUUUGUGACAGGCUGGUCGGCCAUGUUGGUCACACUGUAGGGAAAAACACAUAAUGGUUAAAAGUUGGGCUCCGUCAAAAACAACUCACCAACUUUACCUGAAAACUACUGCUCCUGCUGUUUUUAUGGUGCCCAGAGGAUGAACCCCACAGAUCCUUGUGACUCCACUUGAACACAAUAAAAUAACUUGAAUCUUUUACACAGAUUUGCAUCAAACUUCCUGCUCACAUUCCUGCUCCUCAGAGGAUGAACAAGAGACUGUACUCGCAGAUUCUUCCCCCCGUUGUAAAAUAACACGAGCAAAAAUCUCUCCGAUUCAGGAGGUCCAGCCAGGUCAGAGCGUGGAAACACCCGAGUGGGUGAAACAGCUCCCGUUGUUUCCUGUUCACUUUCUUUUCUGGGAGAAAAAAACUAUUGUUUUAUUUUGUGCACUGACGUGUUUCUGGCUCCAUCAUCUGCGGACCUUGUUCUUCUUAGAUGAAAUGUUUCGUUACAUUAUGGUGCAACACCCUCCGCUCAGAUGUAAUGGAUUUAAGCGCUCGUCCUCGGCCAGGACGGAGCCCCCGCGGCACAAAUCACACAUACCCACCUCACCUGCAGCCGCCGUCGUUGCUUCGGGAUUUUUUUUCAUUUGUCAAGUUUUUGUUUUUCUACGUACGACGUGUUACACGUUUACGCCUGACUUUGGAAAAUUAAGUCCUGGGGGGUGAAAACAUCAGGCCUGAUAGCAAUAGAAGAAGGGGACCAGGAAAGUUCUCAGCUCCAGUGUGAGCAGAGCAGAUGACUGGAUGUUCCCUCAAAACAAAUUAUCAAAAACAAACAGAAACCAAUAACCUGUUACAACCCUCCCCCCCCACCUCCUCCACCCCCGUCCGACAUGUAAAACUGUCUCUGGGUGGCGUCGACACCCUGCAGCCACGCAAACGCCAGGAAAUAUGGAAAGAGGAAAAGAACAACAUCCACAAAAAACACGGGCAGGAAAUUUUCACCGCGAGGGUGAAAAUGAGAAACGACAUAAUAAAGCGAUUCUAUUAAAAAGCCAUCUGACCGUUAAUAAAAGUAAUGAUUUGAUGAGGACGUCCUGUCGCAGAGCCAGAGGCGGCACACAGGAAGACGAGGAGGAGGAGGCGGACCAGGCUUUAUUUUCAUCCUCCGACAUCACAAAGACGGGAAAAAUGAGACAAAGUGUGAGCGUGUGUGUGUGUGUGUGAUGGGGGGGUAACAUAAAAAACAAUUGCUGCCUCUCCCAUCUCUGACUUAAUGAGAUUUGCUGGCUGCUGCCGCUGUGGCCGGGGCUCAGGCAUUAUUUGUUGUUGCAGGUGAUGGCAGGAUUGGAUAAAACACAUAUCUGGCAGCGAGGCGCGGCGUCGACUUUCUCAUCUGCCGCGGAAUAUCAGACUCACCUUCUGUCAGUCUGCGGCUCCAGAUGCUGCACGCUGAGAAACACAGAUUUACAUUUCAGAUACAAAUUCCGGAGACACGAGCACGAACGCGGGCGUCGGAGAGACGUGAGGCCGGAGAGUCGGUGUUUAAAAAAGGGUUCAAUCCCACAACUUGUUUCACUCCAACUCUCACCUGCCGUCUUCAUAGACACGACGUCUGUUCAGACGAAGCUGCAGCCUCAACAACAUCCGCCGCGAGAGGGGACGGAAGUGGACGGAAGGAAAACGAAAGCAGAACACAGGAGAGGUUCCUCCGGGCCCCUGGGGGCCGAGCUCAGCGCCCGAGGAACUGGAGACUGUUUGCACGACGCGUGACGAGAUGAUGGACGAUCCUGAAGAGCAGGAAACUGAUGGGUGAUGCGUUCAGGGACCAACCCCCUCACAACCCGCCUUCAACUGGCAGAAUAACGGGCGACUAGCUGGUAAACAUUCAAAUAUUAGUAACGGAACAUAACCUCUCCGCCAAGGAGGUUAUGUUCGCACCCUGUCUGUCUGCCUGCCUGUGUGUCUGUCUGUCUGUCUGUCUGCCUGCCUGCCUGCCUGUCUGUCUGUGUCUGUCUGUCAGCAGGAUGAAAAGCUCCGGAACAGAUUCCCAGUAAACUUGGUGGAAGUUUGGAACAUGGAGCAAGAAAGAAUCCAUGAAAUGUUGCUGUGGAUUGUGUUCAUUUAUCAAAAACGUCUUCUCACGACAGCCCAGAUGUCCCAGGUUUCCCCUAGCACUUAAACGCAGCGUCCCUGUGGAGCUGGAGUCAGUUACAUUAAUGUAAAUCCUUGAUUCUUUCUUCGGAACCUAAAAAAAGGACCAGAUACAUGAUUCUGAAGUUAAAGCCCCAGUGUGUACAUUUUUUUAAUUUUCAUAUAUGAACACAAAGUUAAGGACAACAUAUUCAAGUUAUUCUAAAUAUGACACACUGUAGCUUAUAACACCUUUUUGUGAAAUAUUAAUAUUACACCGGUUUGUGUUUUGUGCGACUGUUUCAUGUUUGUCGUGGAACGGAACCUGAAAUCUCACACAAAUCAUCAUUUACAUCUGAAGAAGUUUUCAUAUGUAGAUGAUGACGUUCUGUUUGUUCAUUUUCAGUCUGUGUUGACCCUCCUCUGUCUGGGCGUGUCCCGUCCUGAUUGGCCGAUCAGGGGUGCGAGCGGCGCUCGGGUACAGGUGUCGACGGCCUGGUUCUGUCAGACGGACUCUUUACAGAGAGACACGUGCAGCGUCAGCUGCUGCAGCAGGAGAAGUUGCACAGCUUCAUUUGUUGGCGAGGACAAAUCGGCCGAGAUCUCCCCGGCGAGAUUAAUGGCACAGCAAAUCAUGGCUCAUGUUGCCGCGGCGACAGGCGUUCCCCGGCUGCCAUUUCCCGCCGCCGCCGCGGCUCAUUUAAGAGCCGUAUAAUCUCGCAGGUGACGGGGGAAAUCGCAUCGCUGGACCAGGACGCCUGACAGCUGCAUUAAGGCCUGCCAGGGCCGCUUCACAACCCCCCCCCCCAUCAUCCCCCAGCAUGCCUCAGUCACAGAGAGGAGGCUCUUAUGGAGCUGAUCUCCGUGGAGUUAGAAGAUGCGUCUUCAUCCUGCUCUCCUCUGUCAGGAUUCUUGGUUCUAACAAAGCCUCAAAUCUUCUCGGGUACAGAAAACAGCAUUUGAAUAAACGACACACACAAUGUUGAGUAAAGAUCUUCUCAUGUACAGUGAGAUAAGAGCAGCAUCAGCUGUUGGUGGAUCUUUACCUUCGUCAUGGACGAACCUCCAAAUUGAAUCACUCAAAGAUAUCAGUUAGUUUGAGAUAUCACUCAAAGAUAUCAUAAAUAUGUCUGAUUUUUAAAAUCAAGAUCCAUAAAUGAUUCCCUGGGAAAUCAAUGAGAAUUUCCCCAAAAUCUUGCAAUGUUAAAAAAUGUCAUGUUCCAUCAGACAGGGGUGACAACAUCAGCUCCUUGGCGGAGGCAAAUAUCUCAAUUCCCAGCUGCCACUGUGGUUGACCUCGCCCCCUCACCAGCCCCGCCCACACCUGCACAGGUCAACCUCGUCCACACAUCAGGUCCGACAGCGGACAGUGAGACGUCGGCUUCAUAUUCAUAUUAACGUGAGGGUUCCUUUUUUUUGUCUCAGACUCCAAAACCAGGGACAAACGGUGGGAGUGUGAACGCUCCCUGCGGAGGUCAGAGGUCAGGGGUCGGCUGUUUGAUGCCUCUGUCUGAACGUGUUCUCUCUGUGAGGUUCCCCGGGUUCCACUCGGAGCUUUUAUCUCUCCAGGUUCCUCAGAUCCAGUCGGGCAGGAAUCACGAUUCACUUCACCAGGCAACAGUCAGUUUGAAGAAUAACAACAAACACAUUUCAAUUCCCACUUAACUCAACGACGUCUCAAAUUAGCGAGAGCUGGUUUCAUUUCCCCCGUCGGAGGAAGAGGAGCGGCGUCUGACAGCGUCGCGUCUCGCGGCUGCUCCGUCACCUCCCGGUUGAUCCCCGCUCGCCUCAUGAAGUCCGACUCAACGGCUAAAAACUCUCUGCAAGGUCGGGGGCGAGAGGCGCUCGGGGCCCAAUCAGGACGUAUCGCUCGACCCAUCAAACCCUCGUCUGCUCUGGCGGCGGAGGACGAGAGGGACGAGGCGCCUCGGCCGGCUGAUCGCACAAGUCCAAUUAGACGGGGCGGCGGGCCGCCGCUCGCCGCCGCUGCCUUUCUUCUUUUAAUCCCAGCUGUUCAGGUUUCACCUUCACCCCUUCGUCAGCGUUGGUAAACGCGAGCUGACGUCAGUCAGCCGAAGCUCGAGGAAGACGCCGCAGCCUGAGCGGUGUGUUUACCCUUUUUUUUUGUCAGCAGGAUUAAAAACUACUGAGCAGAUUUCCAGUCGUGGGAACAUGGACCAGGAAAGAAUCCUUUCGAUUUUGGGGAGGAUCCGAACAAAGGCUCCGCCCCAUCCGGGAAUUUUUGUAUCUCUUUCUUUAACUUCCUUUUUUUUUCUCUCUCACAUUUUCACGAUAUAUAUAUAUAUAUAUAUCUACACAUUUAUUUUAUUUCCUGAUUCUCAGUAGUAAAUACUGCACGAGAACAAAAACAAAUCUUCACCUGAUCCGUGGAAACAAACAAUCCGCAGGGUUUUUUUCCGACUCUUCAGUCGUUUCUCUGAUGUAUUCGCUCACAUCUCGACUGCUCGGGUCUUUUCUGAGACGUAUUUCUGUAGCAGCUGUGGAAGGAAACCGGCCCUCCACUCUCCGCCCGCCCUCCUCCCUCCAACCGCCCGCCGCCGCCGCCGCCGCCAGAUUUGUGAUUAAACAGCCACUUUGUCAUGUGAGACGGACGUAAUGCAUCAACACAGGUGAGCGUGAGAGCCUGUAGUGGAGUUUAUCAUCAUGACUGCUUCAAAAAUUGAAAUGGGUUAUUUAUUGGGUGUCAGUCACGUCAGGAACACACACAUACACACACACACACAGCUGUUUUCUUCCCGUCUGACUGAGGCACCGUUAUUAUUAUUAUUAUUAUUAUUAUGAUUAUUUAUUUUUUUGACAGAUCGCCCAGGCCGCAGCCCAUUAGUAAUCCUCCCCCGCCGCCCCCGGUGUUUAUUAUUCCCCCGGCAACAAGACGGAUAACGUACGAGGGGGAAACCUGCUCGUCUACCUGCAGCGCUCCAACAGGACGCAGAAAACUGAUGUUUGAACAGUUUCGGAGGAAACAAGAAGACGGAGAGCCGCCAUUUUGUCUCCUGUUCAAGCUGCUCGUUAUAAUUACAGGAUUGACGGAGUCGUGGAGGAGAUGAAUGAAAUAUGCAUGGACCCGCCCGCCGGACCACUGAUGGAUUUUUUUGCUCCGUCCUGUGCGGCCUCCACAUUGCGCCGCGCUGCCCGGCGACUCGCGGUCUGAACCAAUCUUACCAUUUUUAUAUGAUUACGAAAGAUGAAUUAAACUGGAAAAAGGGUGCAGCACAUCCGGGAUCGUUUCUGAUUGGUUACUGUAUCUGUCACUGUGGAUGUCACCGAUGAGGUCACAGCCAGUGUCGGUGUCAUCAGAUGAAGCCUCAGCAUGUUCGUGAUUAUGUGGCCCCCGGGGCCCCUGAGGCUCUCGGGUCCAUGCUGCUUCAUCUUUCCGCUGUCGAACACGUCGUCGCCCCGGGGAACAAGUUUCCGUCUCCGCCUGUUUCUGCUUGGAAGUUUCCGUGACGUGAAGUUUUCCCCCGUCGGGGGGCCUUCCCCCGCAGGAGCUGCUCAUGGCUGUUCUUCUACGAACCGACGUCCUGUAUCGACCGACACGAGCGUCCGGCUGCCGGGGCAGACGUCGUCACUGUUUCA